rnacentral:rRNA from 1 species
AAGCCAANUACUGCAGUCGAACGAGAGACCUUCGGGUCUCUAGUGGCGAACGGGUGAGUAACACGUAGGGAACCUGCCCGCGCACCGGGAAUACGCUCUGGAAACGGAGAACAAAUCCCGAUGUACAGGAAGGAGGCAUCUUCUUUCUGUGAAACAUCCUUUAGGGGAUGGGGCGCGGAUGGACCUGCGGUGCAUUAGUUGGUUGGCGGGGUAAAGGCCCACCAAGACGAUGAUGCAUAGCCGGCCUGAGAGGGCGGACGGCCACAUUGGGACUGAGACACGGCCCAGACUCCUGCGGGAGGCAGCAGUAGGGAAUUUUCGUCAAUGGGCGCAAGCCUGAACGAGCGAUGCCGCGUGAGUGAAGAAGGCCUUCGGGCCGUAAAGCUCUGUUGCGGGGGAAAAAAGGCAGCAUCAGGAAAUGGGUGCUGACUGAUGGUGCCCCGCCAGAAAGUCACGGCUAACUACGUGCCAGCAGCCGCGGUGAUACGUAGGUGGCGAGCGUUAUCCGGAAUGAUUGGGCGUAAAGGGUGCGCAGGCGGUCCUGCAAGUCUGGAGUGAAACGCAUGAGCUCAACUCAUGCAUGGCUUUGGAAACUGGAGGACUGGAGAGCAGGAGAGGGCGGUGGAACUCCAUGUGUAGCGGUAAAAUGCGUAGAUAUAUGGAAGAACACCAGUGGCGAAGGCGGCCGCCUGGCCUGUUGCUGACGCUGAGGCACGAAAGCGUGGGGAGCAAAUAGGAUUAGAUACCCUA